AUGACCAAAUACAGUGCACACCUUAUUAAUAAAACACACAUACAGACAACAGCCCAAAAUAUGAACAUAUUGCUACCUUAAAAAGCAUUCGGGUAAACAACUUCUGGUUUAUGGUAUGUUCCGAAAUGCAUGAUCAACUUGGAUCACAUGUGCAUUAAUAACAAAUCACAUUACAGCUUUGACGUCAUUGAACUGCCGUAAGCUGAAUUUGACCUGUCGCAAAGGUCGCAGAGUACAUUGCAAAUGUUAGAAACGGCAGAUAUCUGAAAGCGUGCAAGAUGUUCAGCUUGCCUCGCUGAACGUGCUAAACAAGAGCGGCAGCUUCCCAAUCUUCCACAACUUGCGCAGCUUCACCAUCCGUCACUGUGCUGCCGUCGUUAGCAGCGACCAAGGAUUAGUCCACACGAUUUUGUGAAAGGGGCUGAAUUAACGAGGCGACGCGGUAUCUGGCCAGGUAAGCGUUGAUGCAGGAAUCGGUCACCGUCAGCGAAUGUUCCUGCUGGUCAGCGGUGAGAACUAUCGUUCCUCCGUAUGUUAAGCCGUAGACCGAUGACCGCUGCAGCAGGUUGCAGGCAUCACACCUGUGAGUAAUGAAGUUGGCAGAAAUUUGAUUUUGAAGACCGUGGCACCUCGGACAACGAUGUCUGGCUCGGAUUUGAACCCCGGAGACCACACCGCGCAAAGACGUAGAAGCAGCGCCGUCAUCGGGAUCAUCCCUGCCCUCAUCAGGUUGGAAAAGCAGUAGGAUUUGGAGACGUCGACCUGGGAUAUUAGGCUAUCCCACAAGGUAAGCUUGAUUUCCCCCGUAGUGUCAGCGACCCAUAUCUCCUUCAGCUCACAUUCCUCCCGGUUAACCAAGACGAUUUUACUAAGUGCAGCACGGGACAGGACCUUAGCUUCCAGCUCGCCUACCUCGCUUUGACGGCCGCUACAUCCAUCCUCCUGCUGCCCGAAGGUGCUAUCCGGGAGAACGGUACGGUCACUACGUCAAGGCUUGUUGUUUUAGAACAGAUCACGUCGAAUCCGUCUGGAUCGGAG